rnacentral:rRNA from 1 species
AUUGAACGCUGGCGGCAUGCCUUACACAUGCAAGUCGAACGGUAACAGGUCUUCGGAUGCUGACGAGUGGCGAACGGGUGAGUAAUACAUCGGAACGUGCCUAGUAGUAGGGGAUAACUACUCGAAAGAGUGGCUAAUACCGCAUGAGAUCUACGGAUGAAAGCAGGGGAUCGCAAGACCUUGUGCUACUAGAGCGGCCGAUGGCAGAUUAGGUAGUUGGUGGGAUAAAAGCUUACCAAGCCGACGAUCUGUAGCUGGUCUGAGAGGACGAUCAGCCACACUGGGACUGAGACACGGCCCAGACGCCUACGGGAGGCAGCAGUGGGGAAUUUUGGACAAUGGGCGAAAGCCUGAUCCAGCAAUGCCGCGUGCAGGAUGAAGGCCUUCGGGUUGUAAACUGCUUUUGUACGGAGCGAAAAGGCUUCCACUAAUACUGGGGGCUCAUGACGGUACCGUAAGAAUAAGCACCGGCUAACUACGUGCCAGCCGCCGCGGUAAAAC